AGACAGGUGGUGCAUGGUUGUCGUCAGCUCGUGUCGUGAGAUGUUGGGUUAAGUCCCGCAACGAGCGCAACCCUUAUCUUCAGUAGCCAGCAGGUAAAGCCGGGCACUCUGGAGAGACUGCCGGGGAUAACCCGGAGGAAGGUGGGGAUGACGUCAAAUCAUCAUGCCCCUUAUGAUUUGGGCUACACACGUGCUACAAUGGCGUAAACAGAGGGAAGCGAGCCCGCGAGGGGGAGCAAAUCCCAAAAAUAACGUCCCAGUUCGGAUUGUAGUCUGCAACCCGACUACAUGAAGCUGGAAUCGCUAGUAAUCGCGGAUCAGAAUGCCGCGGUGAAUACGUUCCCGGGUCUUGUACACACCGCCCGUCACACCAUGGGAGUCGGAAAUGCCCGAAGUCUGUGACCUAACCGCAAGGGAGGAGCAGCCGAAGGCAGGUCGGAUGACUGGGGUGAAGUCGUAACAAGGUAGCCGUAUCGGAAGGUGCGGCUGGAUCACCUC
rnacentral:rRNA from 1 species